rnacentral:rRNA from 1 species
GAUGAACGCUGGCGGCGUGCCUAAUACAUGCAAGUCGAGCGAACGGACGAGAAGCUUGCUUCUCUGAUGUUAGCGGCGGACGGGUGAGUAACACGUGGAUAACCUACCUAUAAGACUGGGAUAACUUCGGGAAACCGGAGCUAAUACCGGAUAAUAUUUUGAACCGCAUGGUUCAAAAGUGAAAGACGGUCUUGCUGUCACUUAUAGAUGGAUCCGCGCUGCAUUAGCUAGUUGGUAAGGUAACGGCUUACCAAGGCAACGAUGCAUAGCCGACCUGAGAGGGUGAUCGGCCACACUGGAACUGAGACACGGUCCAGACUCCUACGGGAGGCAGAAGUAGGGGAUCUUCCGCAAUGGGCGAAAGCCUGACGGAGCAACGCCGCGUGAGUGAUGAAGGUCUUCGGAUCGUAAAACUCUGUUAUUAGGGAAGAACAUAUGUGUAAGUAACUGUGCACAUCUUGACGGUACCUAAUCAGAAAGCCACGGCUAACUACGU